CUUCGAAGUAUCAAUUGGAGGGCAAGUCUGGUGCCAGCAGCCGCGGUAAUUCCAGCUCCAAUAGCGUAUAUUAAAAUUGUUGCAGUUAAAAAGCUCGUAGUUGAAUUUCUGCUGCAUUGCUUGUGUCCCUCUGGGGUCUGUGCAUGUGGCUUUUUUCGGACGGAGUUUCUUUGUCUGAAUGUUUACUUUGAGAAAAUUAGAGUGCUCAAAGCAGGCUUUCGCCUUGAAUAGUUUAGCAUGGAAUAAUA
rnacentral:rRNA from 1 species